rnacentral:rRNA from 1 species
ACGGGUGAGUAACGCGUGGGAAUGUACCCAUCCCUACGGAAUAACACAGAGAAAUUUGUGCUAAUACCGUAUACGCCCUUUGGGGGAAAGAUUUAUCGGGGAUGGAUCAGCCCGCGUUGGAUUAGCUAGUUGGUGUGGUAAUGGCGCACCAAGGCGACGAUCCAUAGCUGGUCUGAGAGGAUGAUCAGCCACACUGGGACUGAGACACGGCCCAGACUCCUACGGGAGGCAGCAGUGGGGAAUAUUGGACAAUGGGCGCAAGCCUGAUCCAGCCAUGCCGCGUGAGUGAUGAAGGCCUUAGGGUUGUAAAGCUCUUUCACCCACGACGAUAAUGACGGUAGUGGGAGAAGAAGCCCCGGCUAACUUCGUGCCAGCAGCCGCGGUAAUACGAAGGGGGCUAGCGUUGUUCGGAAUCACUGGGCGUAAAGCGCGCGUAGGCGGACCGUUAAGUCGGAGGUGAAAGCCUGGAGCUCAACUCCAGAACUGCCUUCGAUACUGGCGGUCUCGAGUCCGGGAGAGGUGAGUGGAACUGCUAGU